rnacentral:rRNA from 1 species
AUUGAACGCUGGCGGCAGGCCUAACACAUGAAAGUAGAACGAGUGGCGGACGGGUGAGUAAUGUCUGGGAAACUGCCUGAUGGAGGGGGAUAACUACGGGAAACGGUAGAUAAUACAGCAUACCAUCAGAUGUGCCCAGAUGGGUUUAGCUAGAUGGUGGGGUAACGGCUCACCAAGGCGACGAUCCCUAGCUGGUCUGAGAGGAUGACCAGCCACACUGGAACUGAGACACGGUCUAGACGCCUACGGGAGGCAGCAGUGGGGAAUAUUGCACAAUUGGCGCAAGCCUGAUGCAGCCAUGCCGCGUGUAUGAAGAAGGCCUUCGGGUUGUAAAGUACUUUCAGCGGGGAGGCGUUACCCGCAGAAGAAGCACCGGCUAACUCCGUGCCAGCAGCCGCGGUAAUUC